rnacentral:rRNA from 1 species
CACGUGGGGUGCAAGCGUUGUCCGGAAUUAUUGGGCGUAAAGGGCUCGUAGGCGGUCCGUCGCGUCGGGAGUGAAAUCCCCGGGCUCAACCCGGGAACUGCGUCCGAUACUGGAAGGCUUGAAUCCGGGAGAGGGAUGCGGAAUUCCAGGUGUAGCGGUGAAAUGCGUAGAUAUCUGGAGGAACACCGGUGGCGAAGGCGGCAUCCUGGACCGGCAUUGACGCUGAGGCGCGAAAGCCAGGGGA